rnacentral:misc_RNA from 1 species
GUUUAACAAAACCUUUUCUUCCAACAAUCUCCAAAAAAAUGCUGAAAAGAUGAUAAAAAAAUAUAAGAAGAAAAGAAUGCUUCAAGAAAUCAAACCAAAACUCUUUCUUGGAGGAGUCCAUCAUUUCACAAGCCACUCCAAACCAUGCAAUAACCCAAACUACUAAUGCAAUAAACACAAAAUUGUGAACCACCUUUAACUCCUUUGUCAGUCAAUCAUCUAGAGCAUCUUCAUUCUUUGUCGGAGUCGCUUGAACUUGAAUCAGAGCUUGAGCUUGAGCUUGAACUUGAUCCCGUCUCGUGGGAUUUGUCCU